rnacentral:snRNA from 1 species
GGAUGUAAGGGUUAUCUGGUUAUGACACCUGUCACCCCAUUGAUCAGCAGGGUUGAUUGGGCUGAUCUGGCUGGCUCGGGGGUGACCCGUUCUUCCCUCGCUGCUCCAUGUAAGUUCCUCCCAAAGCUGCGUGUGCUUGGCUGAAGAGGACAACCUUCCUGGUCUUCAGUUGAAGGUAUACAAGUAGCUGCACUCCCCUGCUAGAACCUCCAGACUAGCUCUCAAGGUCCUGAGUUUGAAUCCGGACAUCACAUGUGCCAAAGUGACACUCUGGCUCUCUCU